AGUGAACGCUGGCGGUAGGCCUAACACAUGCAAGUCGAACGGCAGCACAGUAAUAGCUUGCUCUUACGGGUGGCGAGUGGCGGACGGGUGAGGUAUACAUCGGAAUCUACUUUUUCGUGGGGGUUAACGUAGGGAAACUUACGCUAAUACCGCAUACGACCUACGUGUGAAAGCAGGGGAUCUUCUGACCUUGCGCGAUUGAAUGAGCCGAUGUCGGAUUAGCUUGUUGGCGGGGUAAAGGCCCACCAAGGCGACGAUCCGUAGCUGGUCUGAGAGGAUGAUCAGCCACACUGGAACUGAGACACGGUCCAGAGUCCUACGGGAGGCAGCAGAGGGGAAUAUUGGACAAUGGGCGCAAGCCUGAUCCAGCCAUACCGCGUGGGUGAAGAAGGCCUUCGGGUUGUAAAGCCCUUUUGUUGGGAAAGAAAAGCAGCAGGUUAAUACCCCGCUGUUCUGACGGUACCCAAAGAAUAAGCACCGGCUAACUUCGUG
rnacentral:rRNA from 1 species